UCCUCUGAAUGGCUUCCGCCCAGACUGUUUGUCCAGCUUCUCCACCAGCAGGGGAGGGAGGAAUGGGGACAGACAGGACGUGACUGGAGAAGAGCUGCUGAAGCCAGUUUGUAAGUGACAUGGAGACUCAGACAUCCAGGGCCUAUGGCCUUGAUCCUGAGUUCAUGCCUUCUAUCUGCAGAGAGGUGCGGGACUCAGGGCACUGUCCCAGGUGAGUCCUGUCACCGAGGGGACUAAUGAGUGCUGACGGGAAAGAAAAAGCAUCUUCUCAGGAGGGGAAGGAGCAGCAGCCUGACUUGAGGAUUGGACCGUUGGCCUGGACUCCCAGCUUCACCUCUCGGCCCGGUGACUCUGGGCAGGUCCUCUACCUUAAAUCUCGGCUUCCACAUCUGUGACGUGUGGAUAAUCCGUGGGGGGGGUGGGGUGGUUAAGGAGAACUUGUGACAAGUGGCAGGUGCUGGUGGCCCUGUGGCACCAGGACCCUGUGUCGGGAGGCCUUGGAGUGCUGCGGUCGGCUCUAAGAGCAGAGCAGGGUACGGCAGCCACCUCCCCCACUGCUCUGGGACCCCCAGGCGCCCCUGCCCUCUGCACUGGUGAACGGCUCUGGUUCCACUUCGGGGUGGCAUGGAGUCCCUCCUCCAGUCCAGAUGGUCUGGGAGGUGCCCCAAACCCAGAACCCCCACGGCCCCUCACUUUGUAGCUACCUCCCCAGACGCCCUCUGCCCAGUGUUACUGAGGCUCCUUUAAAACACUGGCCCACAUGUGCAUAAUUACCUUUGGGCACAGGUAAGAGAAACCAGAAUUACAGAAAAGAAUGAAACCCUAGAUUUCUCAGCUCUGGGCCUGGCUCUACUUGGGGGUGGGGUGAGGUGGGGGGAGCCCACCAGAAAAGGUGGGAUCCUGCCCCUGCCGGUAAGGGGUCCUCAGGAGACACCCCAAACUAACACCCUGACCGUGUGGGAAGCCUGGUCAGCAUCCAACGAGAGGCCACUCUGUCCCAGGAACUUCACUCCUACGGGCACACAGGCUGCUGCACCCAGAUGUGCCCUGCACACAGGUGAGCCAGGGACCAGUGUGACAGCCCCAAGUGUUGCCAGGGAAAGAGAUGGCGAGUCACUGGUGGAAACACGAGCCCCAGUGUGGACCUGCCUUUCUGCUAACAAGACGGUCCCCUGGCAGGGGUGAUCCCUGGUGAACUGGGUCAUGCAGCUGGCCUUUUGUAGGGGCUGUUGGGAAUGCGCGUCCACAGUCACCACGCCGGCAGGCUGUUAGAACAGACGCACCGAACAUUCUCGAGGGGAGGUCACACUGAGCUCGCCUAGUAGCAAAAACUGUCGGCAAAGAAACCCACUGCCAGUUCCUAGUCUGAGCUGACAUAGCCCUGCGCCUGCUGGUGACCCUCCUGUGACCUCUCUCUGGAGCUGGGUGGUGGACAGAUUCCCUUCCUUCCUUCUCUCAACCAUUUCUCCAGCCAA